CAGUAAAUUUGAGGUACAUGCCUUGCUGGACUCACCAGUUCUAAACAUUACCUGGGAGCAUCCUCUGCGAGACAAGGGCGGCCUCGCCUUCCUGUUAACAGUUUCAGAAAACAAUGAAACCGUUAUUUACAACCAGAAUAUUACUCAGUCACCCUUCAGUGUCUCAGUUAAUUCAUUUGGAAAAUGCUUCUUGUGACACUCCUAGUAACCGGCACAUCGAAGCAUACCUGUAUCCCAAUGGAUUUCAACGCCCGAAAAAGCUCCUGGGCAGGUCGUUGACCUCUCAUACAGGCGACUAACACAGGAUCGAACUUCUCUUAAUAUUUCAUGGUCCAGACCGGAUGUGACGAAUGGAAUCAUCACAGAAUAUCUUCUGUCCGUCACUGGCACGCGAGGCGGGAA